ACGCCAUCCUAAGUACGGCGAGUGAAGCGGGAAAAGCUCAAAUUUGUAAUCUGGCGCCUUGGGCGUCCGAGUUGUAAUCUCGAGAAGUAUUUUCCGCGCUGGACCGCACAUAAGUCUGUUGGAAUACAGCGUCAUAGUGGUGAGAACCCCGUAUAGGGUGCGGAUGCCCAGUGCUUUGUGAUAUACUUUCGAAGAGUCGAGUUGUUUGGGAAUGCAGCUCAAAUUGGGUGGUAAAUUCCAUCUAAAGCUAAAUAUUGGCGAGAGACCGAUAGCGAACAAGUACCGUGAGGGAAAGAUGAAAAGCACUUUGGAAAGAGAGUUAACAGUACGUGAAAUUGUUGGAAGGGAAACGCUUGAAGUCAGACUUGCAUUUUGGAGUUCAGCCGCAAGGUGUAUUCUUCAAUUCGCAGGCCAGCAUCAGUUUUUGGGGGUGGAAAAGCGCGGUUCGAAGGUAGCAGUCUCGGCUGUGUUAUAGCUUGCCGCUGGAUUCACUUUUGGGGACUGAGGAACGCAGUACACUUUUUGCAAGAUUCUCGGAUCUUUCGUACUUAGGAU
rnacentral:rRNA from 1 species